rnacentral:rRNA from 1 species
UGAGUGGCGGACGGGUGAGUAACACGUGGGUAACCUGCCCAUUAGAGGGGGAUAACAUUCGGAAACGGAUGCUAAUACCGCAUAGUUUCAGGAAUCGCAUGAUUCUUGAAGGAAAGGUGGCUUCGGCUACCACUAAUGGAUGGACCCGCGGCGUAUUAGCUAGUUGGUGAGGUAAUGGCUCACCAAGGCAAUGAUACGUAGCCGACCUGAGAGGGUGAUCGGCCACACUGGGACUGAGACACGGCCCAGACUCCUACGGGAGGCAGCAGUAGGGAAUCUUCCGCAAUGGACGAAAGUCUGACGGAGCAACGCCGCGUGAGUGAAGAAGGUUUUCGGAUCGUAAAACUCUGUUGUUAAAGAAGAACAAGGAUGAGAGUAACUGCUCAUCCCCUGACGGUAUUUAACCAGAAAGCCACGGCUAACUACGUGCCAGCAGCCGCGGUAAUACGUAGGUGGCAAGCGUUGUCCGGAUUUAUUGGGCGUAAAGCGAGCGCAGGCGGUUCUUUAAGUCUGAUGUGAAAGCCCCCGGCUCAACCGGGGAGGGUCAUUGGAAACUGGAGAACUUGAGUGCAGAAGAGGAGAGUGGAAUUCCACGUGUAGCGGUGAAAUGCGUAGAUAUGUGGAGGAACACCANUGGCGAANGCGACUCUCUGGUCUGUAACUGACGCUGAGGCUCGAAAGCGUGGGGAGCANACAGGAUUAGAUACNCUGGUAGUCCACGCCGUAAACGAUGAGUGCUA